rnacentral:rRNA from 1 species
AUGUUGAGGAGUCUCAAGCUGUCGGAGGAAGAGAGGAAAGGGGUCAAGAUCCGGCUGGGGGAGGAGAAAGGGAAGGGAUCGGAGUCUCAAGCGGUGGGGAGGGUGGUGUCUGAGAAGCUGGCUCAUCCAGAUGCGAUCUGCCUCUCCUUGGGGCGGAUCUGGUGCCCGAUAAAAGGAAUUGAUUGCAAGGAGGCAGGGGGUAAUAGGUUUGUGUUCACCUUCAAACAGGAGUCUGGUAAGCGGAAGGCACUUGAGGACGGGCCGUGGAUGUUCGAUAAAGAUCUUGUUGUGGUGGAGGACUAUGAUCCAAGCAAGAGGAUAGAGGACUAUGAUUUCAACAAUAUCCCUAUAUGAGUGAGAAUCUUCAGUCUCCCUCUCGGUAUGAUGAACGAAGCCACAACGGAGGAGAUAGGUAACAUCAUCGGGCGAUUUGUUGAGGUGGAUGCUGGUGCAGAUGGGAGAGCAAUUGGCAAGUUUUUGCAGGUGAAAAUCAGGAUGAACAUAGAAAGGACAAUCAUGAGAGGAUUUACCCUAGAUGAUGACGAUGAGAAGGAACCACAGAAGAGAAAGAAGAAUAUGAGUAUUGAUGGGAAGGAGGGCGAGGAGGAAGAAGGUCUCUGGUGUCGCUUCCAAUAUGAGUUCUUGCCUGACUUUUGUUAUACGUGUGGCUUCAUUGGACAUGUGGCCAAGGAAUGCUCUAUCAAGAUGAAGAAAGGAGAGGACCCUCAGAUUGGCCCUUGGCUCAGAGCUGAUGUGGGGAAGAGGAGGUUUGCAAACUAG